rnacentral:ncRNA from 2 species
AGUAAAGCAAAAACUAUCUGUUUUGAGGAUGCGUUCAGCAAACGGAACACGGUGCAAUUCCGUGACGGUCCCGCCGCUGUAACCGGGUUACAACCUGCAAGCCCAAGGAUGGGCAGCCACUGAUGCCACGGCAUCGGGAAGGCGCAAGGGGAAAAACCGGAAGUCAGAAGACGUGCCGAACGCCGACCAUGGAG